rnacentral:lncRNA from 1 species
CUCGUUCCCCCUAUCGCGGAAACUGAGCUCGCCAUGCGUCCGCUUUCCCGAUUUCGUGGCAGCGAUUCUGGUGCGCUUGGUGUCGGCGAGGCGCAGCGGAACAUCAGUGCGGUCGCCGCCUGUGCGGGGAGGGGCAGAGUCGGCGUCGACGCUGCGAGGGGUUUGCUGAUUUCGCCACGGCACGAGAUUUUACCGGCGAGCCGAUAGGGCGCGGGGACCCCUGCAUGUCUUCGGAGGAGGUGGUGAGGGCUACAGGAAGGCGAUUCAUCGCUGAAAUCCAGAGCGCUGCUGCCUGUAAUGUUCAUGGCGGGCACAUCGACUACCGGGCGCGGGCGCAUGGAGAACGAGGGGUCGCAUCGGCCACGGCGGCGAGCGCAUCUAGCACGUCAUGCGCAGCUACCAUCUACUAUUGCGAAUUUUUAAGGGUUAGUUUUCCUCUCGUCCAUAUCUGUUCGUCCUUGAUUUCCUUCCCACCCCUACUACCUGAGCACGUAGUUUUUGUGGGCAUCAAUGUUGCAUAGCUUUCUAACGUAGUAACCAUCCUGGUACUAAGCAUCGCUUAUACUUGGAUCUGUUGGAAGCAUUUUGUGCUAGCAAUUUUUUGGUCGAUUUUUCGUGUUCUAGGUUUAGUCUGCUGUUAUGCACGCAGUACAUGUUUCCACCAGUUUAGAUGCCUUACGUUACUGUGUGAUUAGAAUAAUUUGGCCCAGAAAAUGCAUCGGGGGCAUAGCGUUUUUGAACCAGACAAGGUUUUCAGGCAAGGUUAGCAAGUGUUCUAGCUAGGGGACAGCUUGUAAAUCAAAUUAACAGAAUCAAAUCAACUGAACCAAAUUGGGGACGACUUGGGCCAUGCAUUUUUCUGCCUAAAUCCUAGCUUUACUGUUUUUGCUGUGCUUAUUUCUUAGGUGAAGUUUUAGUGUGUCCUUUUUAGUUGUGACGUUUUACAGUUUCACAAGGUGCCAUCAGCCAAUCAAAUUGCGCUGCAUUAGGCAAAUCAUAUAUCCAUCAUAUUUUGGAGUUGCUUUUAGAAUAAGUACUCAAUUCCAUUUAGGCAAAUUGAACAGAAUAAUAAGUUCCUAAUAAGCUGCUUUUGUAGCAUUCAAAGGGUCCAGUGGGUGUUGAUUUGUUUUUCUUAGGAAUUGCUUUUCCCUGAUUUGGAGAUGGACUUUGAGAUAGGUGUGAGUGCCUUAGGUUACUGUGUUUAGGCAAACUUCCAAAGUUGCUUUAAUUCUCUAUGCAUUGUCUUAUUCACUAAUUAACAUAACCUAUAACUAUAAGUUGUUUUUCUUAGGGUACGAGUUGAUUUUUUUAGGGAGUUUUUGAGAUGUGUCGGAGCACGGUCUCCGGCACCGGGGAUGCUAAGAACCCCCUUUUUGGUUCGGUGGAGGGCGAGAUGAUUGCUCCGACGAUCGCCGGCAUGGCGAUAGGCACGAAAAGUAAACGCGAGAGUUUUUACCCAGGUUUAGGCCACUCGGAGGUGUAACACCCUACGUCCUACUCUUUGUUAUAUUCACAAGCUUAAGAGUGUACAGAUUGCCCGGGGGGGGGGGGGGGGGGGUUCCCGGGCUGGCUACUUGGGUGGAUGCUGUGAUAUGUUCCAAUUACUUGGGUCGGAACCCUUUUUCCGGCGGCAUUGGUCCUCCUUUUAUAUGCAAGGGGAUACCACAGGUGCCACGGUGUGCAGCGUGACACGUUAGUUAGACGCGUGUCACGCCCGCACGAAAUACAGAUUUGUUCAUCCACGCUGGACGCCAUGCAGCGCCCGUCCUACUGUAUACGAUAGAAAAAGUAGCUCUUAGGGAGAUCGCUCUAGCCUUGCCAAACAAGGCUAGGCCUGCUGAUAAGACUCCCGUCGGUGCAUUAAAUGCACUGCGCCCGCAGUCUGGUCCUGUCUUCACUGUUCCGCGGGUCCCGCCUGCUUGCCCGAGCGCGGGUUGCCGGGGUGCACCUUCCCGGAUAGCGCAUCUGCUAGUUGCCGGGAGGCGCUGCCAUGACUUCCUGGGGUCGGGGUCCCUGGGAGCACUCCGUACUUGGCUCCUAGUUUUGUCUUCACUGGGGCCGUCCCCUCGAGGUAGGCUUCCCGGGUUCGUUACUUCCCAUCAAAGGCGACCCACACGUCCAGUAUCAGUGGGACCCCGUGGGCCACUUGUACAACAAGAUGCAAUAUUGAUUUUAGGAAAACUUGUACCGUAUGUGCUAGUCAGUUUGUUUGGAGCAGAAUUUGUAUUAGAGCUGUUUUCCUAGCUCAGGCAUAAAAUGUGCUGAAUUAGAAGUAGAAUUAUUUUUUCUGGACAAUUUGACUUUUGUUUUUAGUUUUAAAAAAAUUGACAACAAGUUGUAUUCUCAAUAUGUGCAUCUCAGUAUGUGCUUGACUAAUUUAUUUUCAACCGUCUUGCUUUAACUAAAGGACAAUAAAAAUUCGCUUGUAUUGACCAACAUUAUAAGUGGAUUCAUUUUUCUGAGUCUAGUAGUUGAUUUUUUUCCAAUAAUGUAAAGCAUCCUUUCUUUUUGCAGGGAGCUAUAAUGAACACAAUUGAGGAAGACGACGCACCCAAAGAUGCUGAAGCUGGAGAUUAAUUCCUCAUCGCAGGAGACGCAAUGUAAAAGAUGGCCAACUUUCAGUUGCAGGACCCGGGGGAGGCAAUGCAGGUGGUGUUGACAACAUGCUUCAUGUCUUUUUCAUUUCAGUAAUUCUUAACCUGCUGUAUGCCCAGGUUGUUGAUGGAAUUACUGUCGCACAGGCUCUCAAUAAGAUAACUGGUGUGGAGCCUGCCAUAGAUAAGACGGGAAGGCUCCCAAGGUUUUUAUCUAGACGAAGUUGCUUUGACCAAACAAUACUACAUUAUUAAUAGACUGAAAGUUGUUGUACAUAACUGAAAGUUGUUGUACAUAAUAGAGAAGUCGCUUUUUAAAAUAGUUAAUGCACAGAAUAUAAAAUUUGCUAUAGAGAAUAGAGAAUUUGCUUUUCCAAAUUUGCAUUUUCUAUUCAGAAUAGAGAAGUCACUUUUUAAAAUAGUUGCCGUAGAGAAUAGAAAAUUUCCUAUAGAGAAUAGAGAAUUUGCUUUUCCAAAUUUGUUUUUUCUGUACAUAAUAGAGAAGUCGAUUUUUAAAAUAGCUGCUGUAGAGAAUAGAAAAUUUGCCUUUUCCUAUUUGCUUUUUCUGUACAGAAUACAAAAGUCGCUUUUUAAAAUAGUUGCCGUAGAGAAUAGAAAAUUUUGCUUUAGAGAAUAGAGAAUUUGCUUUUCCAAAUUUGCUGUAGGAUCUACUUGUUGCCGUACCCCUUAUUUGCUUUGGCAAUUCUUUCUUGCAAAUUAUAACUCAUUUUUCUUUCCUAUUAUACAGGUGGUUUCAGCAGGUGGAUAUGGGAACAGAUGCAGAUGAUAGGUUUAAGGAAAAGCAACAAAUAAGAUGUGUACAUAGCUAUGGAUGAUGGGAAUCAAAUAGCUAUCAAAGCGCCGAUAACAAGAGGGGGAAGCAACAUUUAAAUGCACCAACCAGCAUGUGGGCUUCAUCAUGUCUAACCUAUGUCUUCUGUGUUUUUGUUGAAACAACACACAACUUAUGAAGGUGCAGGGGUUUUACUGAAUUUGCUGACCAAAUAGGUGCAGGGGGUGGGCGUGUCAUGGGGGAUUUGUUGCUCUACUGAAUAACUCUAAAAACUUAAAGCCGGAGAGUUAUUCGCUCCCUCAGCGCUCCACAUCCGCGAUCCGGGCGGGUUGUUGGCGAGCGGUCGAUGCGUGUCUUCCGAUUCGUGCGAGCUGUCUCUUCGGAGCUUUCCAAAAUAUGUGCGCUGUCAGCUCAAG